CCGUUGCGGGCCAGGUGCGGGGGCUGCCAGGGCGGGGGCGUGCGCACGAUGCGGUCGUCUUUCUCCAGCAGCAGCGGGGCGCCCCAGGCGUCCGAGCCCCUGCCCACCCCGGCCUCCCCGGACACGCAGGCCUACCGUGAGUCAAGCUGGGUUUGCUGACUGCCUAUCCUGUGCUGAGCACCUGUUUUCCAUUGGAGCCUCACACCCUCCAGUGAAGCCCAAGGUGGAGCAAGCUGACGCCCCUGGGAUUCUCCUCUGGAGCUUCUGGGUCUAUCUGUUUAGCCUGCACCCCAUGUCCUGUGUCCCCCAUUAGACCGUGAACCGCUCGAAGGCAGCUCUGCGUUCUAAUCCUCUUUGGCCAGCGCACUGAAGCAAUCAGCUACCAGUUACUCAGAAGCCGUUACCGGGUGCCAGUACUGUGCCAAGUGCUCUGUCAAACCCAGACCCAUUCCUGGGCACUGGGACAGCAGGCGCCCGCCCAGGCGGUGUACUCACUUUUGAGGGCUGACAACAACCCGGGAGCUGUCCCAGCCCCUUGAAAGCCUCCACAGCCCCAUGGAUCUUGCCUCUGCUCUGACCUGUCGUCUCUCACUGCCCCACACCGCUGCUCCACCUGGCACCACCACUGGCAGUUCCCAGAACAGAACAUGAGCUGCAGCUCUCAGACUAGUCCUGGGCCAUCAACCACAUUUGGAAGAACUCUAGUCUAAUGAGCUGUGGGAUGUGGGACGCCGCCUCUACAUGGCCUGACGAGUGGUGCCAUGUCCGCGCCCAGGAUCGGAACCCUGGGCCGCCGCAGCGGAGCGCGUGAACUUAACCACUUGGCCAUGGGGCCGGCCCCUAUUAUUAACUUCUUAUGUUAGUAUGAUAGAUUUGCGCAGAGAACACGAUACUGCACCGGAAGAGUGAGGCAGCUUCUAGUUUGUUCUUGGAAGCACUUGCACAGUGACUCUGAGCUGCCAUGUAGACAGUGUGACUUCUCUGAAGCCGCCAUCCUGUGAGGAAGCUCAAACUAGCCCAUGCAGAGAGCCCACACCUUGAGAAAGAGAUGCCCGGCCAGCCCCUGCUUGCUCCAGCUCCUCCCCUCUGACACUGUUCCAGUUCUGGUUACUAUCUGACAACAAAGAAUGAGCUGGAACCACCCAGCCAAGACUUCCCGGAGUUCCUGAUUUAUAGAGUCUGUGGAAGAUGAUAAAACAAUUGUUGUUUUAAGUGAUUAAGUUUUGGGGUGAUUUAUUUCAUAGCAAUAUUUGUCAGAACAUCAAAACAUACUAUAUAUAAAGUUUCAAUAAUUAAAACAAUAUAGUACCAGCACACAAAUAGACCAAUAGAAGAGAAAAUCCAAAAAUGGACCCAAAUACAUAAAGAAUUUAGCAUACAUAAAAAGUGGCAUCUCAAGUCAGUUGGUCUUUUUAAUAAAUGGUGUUGCAACAACUGGGUACCUAUCUCCAAAAAAUAAAGUUGGAUCUAUACUUUACAUCAUAUAUCAAAAUAAACUCCAAAUGGACCAAAGAUUUAAACAUAAAAAAUCAAACCUAUGAAAGAACUAGAAGAACACGUGGAUGAAUUCCCUCAUAACUGUGGAUUGGGUAAGGUUUCUAACUAAGCCUCAAAAUCCAUAGACUUUAAACGAAAAGAUUAAUCAAAUUUACUACAUAUAAAAAUCCUUACCUAACAUAUGAUCUAUCUUGGAAAAUGUUCCAUGUGCACUUGAGAAGAAUGUGUAUUCUGUUGCUUUUGGAUGGAAUGUUCUAUAAAUAUCCGUUAAGUCCAUCUGGUCUGAUGUGUCAUUUGAGGCCAAUAUUUCCUUGCUGGUUUUCUGUCUGGGUGAUCUAUCCAUUGAUGUAAGUAGAGUAUUCAAGUCCCCUGCUAUUAUUGUAUUGUUGUCUAU